rnacentral:tmRNA from 1 species
GGGGGUGUAACGGUCUCGACGGGGGUGGAGAAGCCCUGGUCGCGUGCCGCCGGACUCGGUAACGGCGUCAAAAACAUCCGGGACUCACAAGUGCGAACGACAACGCGCUUGCUCUCGCGGCCUAGUAAGCCGGACUGAGAGCCGUCGAAGCGAAGAGCCUGCCAGUGCUCUCGUGUAGGCGUAAUCGAACUGGCUGGCCCGAGCUCGAGUGACCCGGAGCGAGGGCGAGAAAUAGGGUCGCUGGCGGCGAGAGAACCCUGUUCGUGGGGGUCUCGCGUUGCGACAACAAAACACGCACUACGCACGUAGACGCCUGGUGUGGACCUCUUCCGGACCCGGGUUCGACUCCCGGCGCCUCCAUUC